CAGAGGGUGCAAGCGUUGUUCGGAAUUAUUGGGCGUAAAGGGCAGGUAGGUUGUCUAUCAAGACUGUUGUGAAAUCCCUGGGCUUAACCCAGGAAGUGCGGCAGUGACUGAGAGACUAGAGUGCUGGAGGGGUUCGUGGAAUACCCGGUGUAGCGGUGAAAUGCGUAGAUAUCGGGUGGAACACCAGAGGCGAAGGCGGCGAACUGGACAGCAACUGACACUAAACUGCGAAAGCGUGGGGAGCAAACAGGAUUAGAUACCCUGGUAGUCCACGCUGUAAACGAUGAGCACUAGACGUGGUGGGUCUUGACCCCUGCCGUGUCGACGCUAACGCGCUAAGUGCUCCGCCUGGGGAGUACGGUCGCAAGACUA
rnacentral:rRNA from 1 species